UCAGCCGCAGCCCAGCGGGAGGGACGAGGGGGAAGACGGACGUGGUGGCUUAUAAUGGCACGGCUGAGACGUGUCGAGUCAUAGGGUCCCCCGCGGCCCUGCUGCUGUGAGUGGCACCCGGCCUGGACCCUGAUGGCGGUGGUGUAUUUAAGUGGUAUUAAAAAAAAAGAUAUAACUAAAGAGCAACAGAAAAUGCACCCAUCUACUGGUUUUAUGCAAAAUUGUUUAAAAAACGGUAUUGCAAACUGCACAGGGAAGGCAAACUUGGGGGUUGAGAUACUGGCAUUGAUGGCCGAGGGCAGCCCUGGCGCUGGAGGUGGCCUGUGGCAGCGCGGCGGCCUCCCGCUGCCACCGACCAGCGCAGGGCAGAAGCGGCACCGUGGAAACCAGCCAGGGCAGGGCACUCUCCCUGCGGGCCUUCGCGCGGGUGUAUUUUGCACCAUCGUAAGAGCAUCCCUUGGUGCACUGACUUCCAGGGCAGCAGAGACAGAAUAGGAGGCCACAGCACUCACUCCUCUCUUCCUGAGUUCUGCUGAGCAUUAUCCUUCCUAGUGGAGGGAGAAGAGGCGCUCCUCCUGCUUCCUCCAGCGCAGGGAUUGCUGCUACAGACAGCUAUUAUGGCAAAAAACGGAUACCAUGGACAUUGCAACAUCAGCGGAUAACACAUAAUGAUUGGGGCUGGAGAAGAAAUGAAAUACUGCAUUGAGAUGUUUCCUAAUACAUACUACAAGCUACAGGCUUAUGAGAUGUUAACUUUUUGUUGUUGCCUUUUUUCUUCAAAGAAGAAAGAAUACUACUUGGAGCCACUCGCCAUAGCACUUUCUCCUGUGGCUGUGCAGUGGGAACUAUCACAUGUUGUUGGAGUUACAGACUGCUUUGGCCUUCCUAUGUUGCUUUGCUACCUAGCUUGAGUAAGCUGCCUUAAAGUUAUAAAACCCAACUUUAUUAGGCUGGUGGUCUCAUAGCUUUUAGGUUUUACUUAUCCUGGGAAAUAUAGUUCACCUAUGUGGAUUCCAUGACUAAGAGAUGUCAUCAUGUGACAUCUACCAGUUGACAAAAGCCAAUUAGACAUGAAGAAAAGAUCACAGCUUUUCUGAAAUUGGUUAUUCACAAAUCUCUUUUUUUAAAAUUACAUAUAAGUUAAUAUCUAGACCUUAGUAUUACAAUAUCCCAUCUAAAAACAUGGCAGAGGAUGAAAAGAAAACCAGUAGUUUUUCGUCAUACUCUCAUAAAUAUUUUGACCUACCAAGAUGAGAUGUGAAUACCUGAUCCUAAAUAAACUAUGCAGAUUUUGAAAAC
rnacentral:lncRNA from 1 species